UACGAAGGGGGCUAGCGUUGCUCGGAAUCACUGGGCGUAAAGCGCACGUAGGCGGAUUGCUAAGUCAGGGGUGAAAUCCUGGAGCUCAACUCCAGAACUGCCUUUGAUACUGGCGACCUUGAGUCCGGGAGAGGUGAGUGGAACUGCGAGUGUAGAGGUGAAAUUCGUAGAUAUUCGCAAGAACACCAGUGGCGAAGGCGGCUCACUGGCCCGGUACUGACGCUGAGGUGCGAAAGCCAGGGGAGCAAACGGG
rnacentral:rRNA from 1 species